GAAUUUCCACCUAACAUUCACUUCCUCCAUGGCAGAUGCCUGUCUUUGAGCUUAGGUUAAAAUGCCAGGAUUUUAUUCUAGAGGAUCGUACCUUAAUUCCUCUUCGUAACCAAUAAACAGAAAUGCGUCAAGGGUUUCAGCCAGUAACAGCAGUUUCUUCUCUGUAUUUGCUACCCUAUGUCAACAUGUCAACUAACGUGAUCUCCCCUAAUGAUCUCCCCUAAUGGAAUAGAUGCAAGGAGUCGAGUUAACUUUUGUAUCACUAAUUGCAGUUCUGAGGAAGAGAACGUCAAGAUUAAGUUUGGGCAUCAGAAGUUCUUGCCACUAAGCUGCUCACAAGAGGUUAAUAAUGAGUUCUACCGCAUCAAAAUUAUUUGUUUCCUAUAAUGGAAAAGGAAAAAUCUUCAUGCUAUCUCCACUGGGCAGAAAGCAGGAGGGCAAUUUGUACACCACAUCUAUACUACCCAAGAGAAGAGGAGAGUGAAGAAAUUUUUUGGUGAAUUUAGGCAUUAUAGACAGCUGAUCUAGACUACUUCAGUUCCAAAGUGAAAUUCUGUGUAUAAAUUAUUCAGAACGACUCCCUAUCCAGAUCAGUG
rnacentral:lncRNA from 1 species